rnacentral:rRNA from 1 species
GAUGAACGCUAGCGGCAGGCUUAAUACAUGCAAGUCGAGGGGCAGCAGUUUUGUAGCAAUACAGAAGCUGGCGACCGGCAAACGGGUGCGGAACACGUACGCAACCUUCCUCUAACUGGAAGAUAGCCCACCGAAAGGUGGAUUAAUAUUCCAUAGUAUAUUGAAAAGGCAUCUUUUUGAUAUUAAAGCUCCGGCGGUUAAAGAUGGGCGUGCGUCUGAUUAGGUAGUUGGCGGGGUAACGGCCCACCAAGCCUACGAUCAGUAGCUGAUGGGAGAGCAUGAUCAGCCACACGGGCACUGAGACACGGGCCCGACUCCUACGGGAGGCAGCAGUAAGGAAUAUUGGUCAAUGGACGCAAGUCUGAACCAGCCAUGCCGCGUGGAGGAUGAAGGCCCUCUGGGUUGUAAACUUCUUUUCUUUGGGACGAAACCCCUGUUUCUACGGGGACUGACGGUACCAGAGGAAUAAGCACCGGCUAACUCCGUGCCAGCCGCCGCCGUAAAAC